rfam:Salmo salar isolate Sally breed double haploid chromosome ssa01, whole genome shotgun sequence.
GCAUUGGUGGUUCAGUGGUAGAAUUUUCACCUGCCAUGCGGGAGGCCUGGGUUCGUUUCCCGGCCAAUGCA